rnacentral:rRNA from 1 species
AUUGAACGCUGGCGGCAUGCCUAACACAAGCAAGUCGAACGGUAACAGGUUAAGCUGACGAGUGGCGAACGGGCGAGUAAUAUAUCGGAACGUGCCACGUCGUGGGGGAUAUCGUACCGACAGCUAUGCUAAUACCUCAUAAGAUCAACGGAUGAAAACGGGGGAGCGCAAGACCUCGCGCGACUGGAGCGGCCGAUAUCAGAUUAGGUUGUUGGUGAAGUAAAAGCACACCAAGCCUGCGAUCUGUAGCUGGUCUGGGAGGACGACCAACCACACUGGAACUGUGACACGGUCCAGACUCGUACGGGAGGCAGCAGUGGGGAAUUUUGGACAAUGGACGCAAGUCUGAUCCAGCAAUGCCGCGUGCAGGACGAAGGCCUUCGGGUUGUAAACUGCUUUUGUACGGAACGAAACGGUGAGCUCUAAUACGGUUUGCUAAUGACGGUACCGUAAGAAUAAGCACCGGCUAACUACGUGCCAGCAGCCGCAGUAA